GAUGAACGCUGGCGGCAUGCCUAAUACAUGCAAGUCGAACGAGAGGAAGGAAAGCUUGCUUUUCUGAAUCUAGUGGCGAACGGGUGAGUAACACGUAGGUAACCUGCCCAUGUGCCCGGGAUAACUUCUGGAAACGGAUGCUAAAACCGGAUAGGUAGCAGACAAGCAUUUGACUGCUAUUAAAGUGGCUAAGGCCAUGAACAUGGAUGGACCUGCGGUGCAUUAGCUAGUUGGUGAGGUAACGGCCCACCAAGGCGACGAUGCAUAGCCGGCCUGAGAGGGCGGACGGCCACAUUGGGACUGAGACACGGCCCAAACUCCUACGGGAGGCAGCAGUAGGGAAUUUUCGUCAAUGGGGGGAACCCUGAACGAGCAAUGCCGCGUGAGUGAGGAAGGUCUUCGGAUCGUAAAGCUCUGUUGUAAGAGAAAAACGACAUUCAUAGGGAAUGAUGAGUGAGUGAUGGUAUCUUACCAGAAAGUCACGGCUAACUACGUGCCAGCAGCCGCGGUAAUACGUAGGUGGCGAGCGUUAUCCGGAAUGAUUGGGCGUAAAGGGUGCG
rnacentral:rRNA from 1 species